AUACUUACCUGGCAGGGGAGAGACCAGGUUACGAAGGUGGUUUUCCCAGGGCGAGGCUUAUCCGUUGCACCCGGGAUGUGCCGACCCCUGCGAUUUCCCCAAAUGUGGGAAACUUGACUGCAUAAUUUGAA
rnacentral:snRNA from 1 species